GUUAGACCAGUGAUGAAGAGGAGCGGAUCCUCCCGUGCGCUGCCAAGAAACGGUCCGAGUCACGGAGAGUCUACACACAUGACAGAUUAACGAGCUACUAAACCAACACGCGGUUGGCUGCAGCUUCAUUAGACAGGGAUGGGAGUGGUGCUAAUUAUGAAUAGGUCCCCUCCUCGAAGCACACGAACCCACACAGACACGCGACGGCACCGGUCUAAGCCGUGCACACGUGUAUGAGGUGUGUCUGGAAGCUCUGCUGCUAAAGGAGGACUCGUGCCCUCCGCCUGGUGAAGGUUUAAAGUCAUUAAAGUCAAUGACUUUAUAGUGGGGCUUUGUAAGUUCAUACGAGUUUAGUUCAGACUUUAUAUUUUGGUCACUUAUUAAAUGAUGGGCUCAUCUCAUCUCUUGCUACGUUUAUUGCGUCUCUAACCACCGCGCUGCUCAUCCCGGCUGCUUUUAUUUCUUUACGAUCAGGCGCGUGACCACGCCUUAUCCGACAAAUCUCACAGAAAAUCCCCAGGCGACGAAGAUCACAGAGCAGACGAACCAGUCGGUGGUUCAGUGGAAACACCACGUUGAGCAACAACAGCCUGACGGGAACUCAUCCUGCUGUGCAAAUAUUAACUUGUCCCUUCUUAUACUGUCCAUAAAGAGUUUUGGAUGCUGAAUUGUCUUAAACUGACUUGUUUUUUCCCCACAUUGUAGAAUAAACCAUCAAAGGGGAAACAAUGGGGAAUUAUGGAUAAUGCCUUGAUGUGUGCUUUGCUUUCAUUGGUGGAUUUAGUAGAUGUUGACACGUGUGUGGCUGAAACAUGAUGGUGUACAACACAUGCUUAUCUGUCUGCAGCAAUUGAUGCUGUGGCAACAGAAAAUGACCUGGGUCGUGAGAAAACGUGUGUGUGAAGCCUUGAAACUUUCCCCUGCUUUUUAUUUAUUAAAGCUUUGGGUCAAUUUCAAAUCCAGUCUCACCAAUCCCAAGUAGAAGUGGGGCGAAGCGGCGGGACGCGCUGGCUCCUCCUGCUUCAGGCUGGGUGUUACCGUGCGUGUAUUAGUGCGGGGCUCCGGGGUGAAUGCGGUUACUGUGUUGUUUCUCUGAAGGACUGAGGUCUGCUCAGCGAUGUGACUUCCCGUUUCAGAGGCUCCUGCUCCGCUGAGGCCGUAGUGUCGGUGAGUGUGUGUGUGUGUGUGUGUGUGUGUGUGUGUGUGUGUGUGCGCAGCGCAUGGCUUCCCUGCGAGAAUAAUGCGUCCCGACCGGAGCGGAGAGAGAGAGGGGCGAUCAAGAGCGCGAGGAGACGCUGGAACUCGGUCGAAAAGUUAAACGGGGCCCGAACCACCGGAACCAGUGCGGCCACCGGCUCCUGCGGCGGGUUUUGCCGCGUUCCGCUCGCGCCAUGGACCCGUUCCCCAACGCCUCGGCGCCGCUCGCCUCCGUCUUCAACGCCAGCUGCCGCUUCGACGAGGAGUUCAAGUACAUCCUGCUGCCCGUGUCCUACAGCCUGGUGUGCGUGUUGGGCGUGGCGCUCAACGCCACGGCGCUGUGGGUGUUCGUGCGGACGCGCCCGUGGAAGCCCGCCGCCGUCUUCAUGUUCCACCUCGCCCUCUCCGACCUCCUCUACGUCCUCUCGCUGCCCACGCUCAUCUACUACUACGCCAACCGCAGCCACUGGCCGUUCGGCGUGGCCGCGUGCAAGGCCGUGCGCUUCCUCUUCUACGCCAACCUCUACUGCAGCAUCCUCUUCCUCACCUGCAUCAGCGUGCACCGCUACCUGGGCAUCUGCCACCCCAUCCGGACGCUGGCGCUGGUCAAGCCCCGCCACGCCCACAUGGCGGCCGGCGCCGUGUGGGCCGUGGUGACCGCGUGCCUCGUGCCCAACCUGGUCUUCGUCACCACCUCGCGGCGCGACAACGACACCCUGUGCCACGACACCACCAGCCAGGAGGCCUUCGACCAGUACGUGGACUACAGCUCCGUGGUCAUGGUGCUGCUGUUCGGCGUCCCCUUCCUGGUCAUCGUGGCGUGCUACUGCCUGAUGGCGCGGGCCCUGUGCCGGCCCCGCCGCGGCCUGCCCGCCGGCCAGCAGGGCGCCGCCUCGCGCCAGAAGUCCGUCAAGCUCAUCGUGGUGGUGCUGGUGGUGUUCGCCGUGAGCUUCGUGCCGUUCCACGUCACCCGGACGCUCUACUACGCCUCCCGCGUGCUGGACCUCAGCUGCCAGUCCCUCAACGUCGUCAACUUCGCCUAUAAGAUCACCAGGCCGCUGGCGAGCGUCAACAGCUGCAUCGACCCGGUGCUGUACUUCCUGGCUGGGGAUCGCUACCGCGCUCAGAUGAGGUCCGUCCUGGCGAAGAGGAGACAGGCGACGACCAGCCAGACGCCCCUGAGCAACAACCAGGGCAUCGCUAUGGUCUAUAAGAACUCCCAGGCCGGGGCAGAACCUGACAAAUAGAACCUUCCAAAAGCCCGUCCAGGAUCAACCUUAUGCACUUUGCAGACAGUUUACGAACUUAUCAAAACCCUGUACUUCCUGUCUUGAACAGACACAAACCUCCUGGUUUAGGUUCUAGUUAGUAAAUGAAGUUUUACUGCGGCGCCUCUUGCUACGAAUGGAUUAUUACACAAUCCUACAGCACAGUUUGUGAAAUGGUGCUUAUGCUGGAGACGGCGAUGACGAUGAUUCAUUCCUAAAUCCUAAUAUUCACCAGAGACGACAGUUCAGCUGUCGGUCUGAAACGAGACACUCUCACAGCUGUUUUCAUCGCUAUGGAAGAAAAGCUGAAAGACCCGAUCUGAUCCCAGACCUGUGAUUUUUUUCAACCCACCCACGCGUCAUUAGGGAGACGAGGGAGUUUCCUUUUCUGCGUUUAACCUUCUUAUAUGUGGAGUUCGGAGGGUUUGAUGGCUUCGUCAGAAAUUAUGAGGCAGAGACGAGGGAUUUCAAGGACGCGUGGACUUCAAUUUAAUCGAAGAGGCUGAGAGUGGAGUGGAAGAGUGACACACAGAGGAGAGAAGUUCAUUAUUCUGCUGAAAAGGAAACCAAUGGCUUUCACGGUCGCCAUGGAGGAAGGUGGGGUAAACACUUUGACCUGGCACACCGAGUUUCAGACUCCCGUGUAGGUGGUUCUACUUUGAGCACAACACGAUCCUGUGACGCACGUGGUUCUACCUCACAGUCUCCACGGUGGAGCAGAAGCUGAGCCACUGCCGGCCGGGACGGACAAGCCUCAGCGGCCGCAGCUGUGCCUCGUAGUCAUUAAUGCUCCUCUGCUGGCUGAGAAGAAAAGGUCCAGCCUCCCUGCCGCACACUCUGAGCAAGGCAUGGCAGCGCAACCGCUUGCAGCCCCCCCCCCCGCGUGGUGAGGCAGCGGAGCUGGAAGCGGGGCCCUUGAGUCUGGGCAAUAAAGCUGAAGGAUUUGUCUACUGGAGGCUGGAGGAGAAGUGGGGGAAUCAUUAGACAGCAUGGGAAACACAAAAGCAACAGGUUCAAACUGUGACUGUUUGAUAUGGUGCGAUGCCAUAUUCCACCACGAUGGGCUUGAUGUAACGCAGUGUGACACCGAAGGAGCAGGUUUAAGCUGAUUUGUGUCCAGAUUUAUAGUCUGUUUGGGUUAAUGUCAUUGUAGAUCAGAGUGAUUUGACACAUGAUCAGCGGUGGACCCUCAACAUGCCGUGCUUCUCUUUAAGGGAGUCAUGUAUGAAAAGCAUCUCAUGGGCUAAAAAUAUUUGGUGACAAAAUCGGGGGUCUAACACAGAAAACAGAAAGGAUCAGAUUCAAUUCUAAAUCAUGAAGCCGGUGGAGUUUUCAGUAAUAAAAGAUCAUCUUCUCAGAGAAACCACAGCUUUAUACUUUCUGACAAACGUGACUGGUGAUGAAAUAAAAUGGGAAAAAAAUAAACAGUAAAAAUGUCCCAAGGAUGCAGUUUGGUCUUCUCACAGAAAAAGCAAUGAAAACAUUAUUCUGAUCCCUAAUCAGUUGCGUUACAUCUACUUAGAAGCUGUACGCUCCUAUUUAGGAUUCCACAACGCGCACGCGAUAAUGGUGAUACACGGGCCCUCGUUCUGCCUACGGUUCCCCCGAUAGACUCGCUUUUGCAAUCACAAACCCCGUCAAGGUAAAGGAGCUACAAAAUUAAAAACGUUCACCCAAACCGAAAUAGCCUUUCAGAUUGUAUAUGUGCAGUAAAAUGAUUCCCAGACAUGUUCUGCUCAAUUCCCCACCUGUUGUAAUGUUAUGUUCAGUCAUGUAGAACUUUUCUCUCACCCGCUGUAUGCCAGACCCCCCACAUUGUAAAUCGGCGCGAAGGGAAAAAAGAUUCAGCUCUUUCAGAGUGUGACCAUGAAGGCAGAGGAAAUCACUCUAAACGGUCUUAAUUCUGCCAUUAGAUGAGAGGGAGCGCUGUGGGGAUUGGCUGGCCCUAUGCUCCAUAUUCACAGGAGCAGGAUGAGGCUGAGGAGCCUGCUGAGAAAAUGGUGUCGUAAUCAGGAGCCGGCAGUUCUGCCUGAUCAGGUACACUAGCCUGUCUUCUUGUUUCCUCAAGUCCCCCCC